AAAUGGUACCCUAUUCCCUACAUAGUGCACUACUUUAGGGCCCUGGUCAAAAGCAGUGCACUAUGUAGGGAAUAGGGUCCCGUUU
rnacentral:pre_miRNA from 1 species